GUACUCAGGUGAAUAUGAUGCUUGUGAUGUACUCUGAGUGUAUAUAUUGCCCGGUGUGGAUAUACACUCAGAGUAACAUCACAAGCAUCAUAAUAUUCA